rnacentral:rRNA from 1 species
CCUACGGGCGGCUGCAGUGAGGAAUAUUGGUCAAUGGGCGGAAGCCUGAACCAGCCAAGUCGCGUGAGGGACUAAGGCCCUACGGGUCGUAAACCUCUUUUGCCGGGGAUCAGUGCCCAGCUCGCGCGCUGGGAGGGAGCGUACCCGGAGAAAAAGCAUCGGCAAACUCGGUGCCAGCAGCCGCGGUAAUAGGGAGGAUGCGGGCGUUAUCCGGAUUUAUUGGGUUUAAGUGGUGCGUAGGCGGGCCUUCAGGCAGGCGGUAAAAUUGCGGGGCUAAACCCCGCCGAGCCGUCGGUACCGGGGGCCUUGAGUAUCGGAGAGGGACGCGGAAUGCGUGGUGUAGCGGUGAAAUGCAUAGAGAUCACGCAGAAUCCCGAUGGCGAAGGCAGCGUACCGGCCGGUCACUGACGCUGAGGUACGAAAGCGCGGGUAUCGAACAGGAUUAGAUACCCUUGUAGUC